rnacentral:sRNA from 1 species
UUGUCGUUGGUGAUAGGCAAGUGUGCCACC